rnacentral:rRNA from 1 species
CCUACGGGGAGCAGCAGUGGGGAAUAUUGCACAAUGGGGGAAACCCUGAUGCAGCAACGCCGCGUGAGUGAAGAAGUAUUGCGGUAUGUAAAGCUCUAUCAGCAGGGAAGAAGAUGACGGUACCUGAGUAAGAAGCCCCGGCUAACUACGUGCCAGCAGCCGCGGUAAUACGUAGGGGGCAAGCGUUAUCCGGAUUGACGGGGUGGAAAGGGAGCGCAGACGGCAGGGCAAGUCUGGAGGGAAAGCCCGGGGCCCAACCCCGGAACUGCUCGGGAAACUGUGCGGCUAGAGUACUGGAGGGGCCGGCGGAAUUCCUCGUGUAGCGGUGCAAUGCGUCGAUAUUAGGAGGAACCCCAGUGGCGACGGCGGCCUGCUGGACAGUAACUGACGUUGAGGCUCGAAAGCGUGGGGAGCAAACAGGAUUAGCUCCCCUUGUAGUC